GGGAAUCUUCCACAAUGGGCGAAAGCCUGAUGGAGCAACGCCGCGUGGGUGAAGAAGGUCUUCGGAUCGUAAAACUCUGUUGUUAGAGAAGAACAAGGAUGAGAGUAGAACGUUCAUCCCUUGACGGUAUCUAACCAGAAAGCCACGGCUAACUACGUGCCAGCAGCCGCGGUAAUACGUAGGUGGCAAGCGUUAUCCGGAUUUAUUGGGCGUAAAGGGAACGCAGGCGGUCUUUUAAGUCUGAUGUGAAAGCCUUCGGCUUAACCGGAGUAGUGCAUUGGAAACUGGGAGACUUGAGUGCAGAAGAGGAGAGUGGAACUCCAUGUGUAGCGGUGAAAUGCGUAGAUAUAUGGAGGAACACCAGUGGCGAAAGCGGCUCUCUGGUCUGUAACUGACGCUGAGGUUCGAAAGCGUGGGUAGCA
rnacentral:rRNA from 1 species